rnacentral:rRNA from 1 species
UACGUAGGGGGCGAGCGUUGUCCGGAGUUACUGGGCGUAAAGCGCACGCAGGCGGUCUGGUAAGUUUGGAGUGACAAUUCUCGGCUUAACUGAGAAGGGUCUUCGAAGACUGCCCGACUUGAGGGCUUACGAGGGACACGGAAUUCCGGGUGGAGUGGUGAAAUGCGUAGAGAUCCGGAGGAACACCAAAGGCGAAGGCAGUGUCCUGGGAAGUACCUGACGCUCAGGUGCGAAAGCUAGGGGAGCGAACGG